UCUCCACAAUUACAACAUCUUUUUCGGUGACUAAUUGCAACAGUACAAUUUCAAAGGCAUAAAUGUCCAUCUUGAAAGUCGUUGACCCGGUCACAAUGUCCUUAGGUGUCAUGUAUUGUGGCAUCACCACAAGUUCCCAAGUCAUGCCUUAGGUAUCCAUUUUUUGGCAAGACUGAAGAAUAUUUCACUAAGUUGAGUGAAUAUAUGAGGAAUUGACUCCUUAAUAUCGAGAAAUUUGAGAAGGCAGCUCAAGAGGUUCAAGGAAAGC
rnacentral:lncRNA from 1 species